UGGGGAAUCUUGGACAAUGGGCGCAAGCCUGAUCCAGCCAUGCCGCGUGGGUGAUGAAGGCCCUAGGGUUGUAAAGCCCUUUCGGCGGGGAAGAUAAUGACGGUACCCGCAGAAGAAGCCCCGGCUAACUUCGUGCCAGCAGCCGCGGUAAUACGAAGGGGGCUAGCGUUGCUCGGAAUCACUGGGCGUAAAGCGCACGUAGGCGGACUCUUAAGUCAGGGGUGAAAUCCUGGAGCUCAACUCCAGAACUGCCUUUGAUACUGAGAGCCUUGAGUCCGGAAGAGGUAAGUGGAACUGCGAGUGUAGAGGUGAAAUUCGUAGAUAUUCGCAAGAACACCAGUGGCGAAGGCGGCUUACUGGUCCGGUACUGACGCUGAGGUGCGAAAGCGUGGGGAGCAAACAG
rnacentral:rRNA from 1 species